rnacentral:rRNA from 1 species
AGGAUGCAGGUGUAUAGGUGGAGACACCACAGCCGAGCAUUACUAAUUGCCCGAGGCUUUC